GUGCCCGUAGCUCAGCUGGAUAGAGCGUCUGACUACGGAUCAGAAGGUCGGGGGUUCGAAUCCUCCCGGGCACACCA
rnacentral:tRNA from 1 species